rnacentral:lncRNA from 1 species
AUGAGGCUAAUAAAUGCCUUUACUGGGGUCCUGGGGAGAAAUUCUGGUUUCUUUUCCCUACCCUCCUCUCAUUUAAUUCUUUUUUUUAUCUGGGUUUUUGGCAGCACCUCUGAAUCAUGGGAUAUGCUUGAGGCAACCAGGCUUUCAAAAUUCACUGGCUUUCUAAAACUCCAGCAAGAAACUUGGAGACUCAAGUUACCCAUGAAAGGUAACAAUUCCUUGUACUCCCAUAUACUUCUGUGUCACAGAAGGAAGCUCUGGGGACUUAGAAUACCAAGGAAUAUGCUCUUUAGAAGUUGAUUUUUCUGUCAGGAGGUUUUGAAGGAGGAGACUGGAGGUCUGAGAUUACCACUGGUUCAGCCCACAAUUAAGUAUGGUUAGUGUCUGGGAAGAGGAGUAUAGAAUGACAUAGAUAAGGGGGAAAAAAGGUUUAAACUUCAUCUUUUGCUUAAUUAAAUGGGAGAUUAGAAUAAUCUGAAUUUUAGGGGCAGGGGAUGAGUAUAGAAAACAUAUUAUGGGGGAGUCCAGAGAAGACUAAAGUUGAGAAUCUGCUUUCAAAUUCUGACUCUAUGCUAUUCCUAGUCUUACUUUGUUAAUCUGUAAAAGUGGGGAUAAAAUCCACCUGUCAGGAUUACCAUGAGGUUAGGUGAGAAAAUGUGGGUG